rnacentral:lncRNA from 1 species
AAUCAGCCACAUGAUUACAAGGGUAAACAACAGAUACACAAAGAACCAUUUAGUCAACCUUCUGUUUCUCACUUUUAGUACAGUAGUCAAUAAAGUACAUGAGCUCUUCAACACUUUAUUACAAAAUAAGUUUUAUGUUAGAUGAUUUUCCCCAACUCUAGGCUAAUGUAAGUGUUCUGAGCAUGUUAAGGCAGGGAUAGGCUAAGCUAUGAUGUUCAGUAGGUUAGGUGUAUUAAAUGCAUUUUUGCCAACAAUAUUUUCAAAUUAUAAAGGGUUUAUUGGAACUUAGCCCCAUCAUAUUUGAGGAAGAUCUGUAGUAUCGAAUUUUAUAGUGCUGAUUUGUUGCUACUUGCUUCAGAUAGUCUUUCCACCCCUUCUGCCCCCACUCUCCUUCCCAUCUAAGUAAACCUGUGAUGGUUCAGAAGGCAAAAGUCAUGUGUGGUAUGUCUCUGCAACUCCCACAGUUCUACACAUGCAAAGGCACUACGAUUAGGCUUUUUCAUCAAGGGAGACAGAAUUGUGACCUGUGAUACCAUUUACCUUGUAUAUCCUCUGUUACAAGUUCAGUGUAGGCCCUUUAGAUAUUAUUUCUCAUCCUUACGUAGAUCCUGCAAAGGAACUAAUCAUUUUACCUCAUUACUCAGUUGAAUCUGACACUCACAGAAGGCAAAUAACUUAUGUACAGCUAGUACCCAUCAGCAUUAGAAUUUGAACCCAGAAUUCGAACCCAUGUUCUUUCCAUUACUGUAUAUUGACGUGCCUCAUUCUCAGCUCACAUAGAUACCACAUAAUCACAUUAUGGCAGCAUUACUUUGCUUGCAUAUAGAAUUGUAAACUGCUAACCUAGGUGAAUUCAAGUCUUAGCCUAUUGACUUCCAAUGUUAGCUCUGCUCUUGAGAAUUAGGUGACCCACUUUCUGAGCCAAGGUCCUUAUCUCUUAAGGGCCAUUGGAGUGCAGCGAGAGCCCUGAAGCAUCAAGACAGCAUCAAUGAACAGCGUUGUUGUGAAACCCAGGACCUUCCCUGAGUCUAACAGUGGCAGGGCUGUUACAGUGACGUAAGGCCCAUAACUUGUUCCUUCAUUUCCCUCUCUGCAUUUCAUCACUCCCCCAUUUUUGAAACACUUCCUCUAUGACAUAAUAAUGAGUGAGGACUCUAUGAGCUUUCAAGUGACAAGUAAAUUCCAGGAAUAUUUUAUUUGCCUUGGAAAGAUAUAAAUUCCUGGGUCUAUUCAGAUUCCAGUGGCUUUGGAGAGACAGAGCAUGCCACUUUCCUUAAGAAAGGCCACCAAUGGGAGUGAUUUCUGGUGACGCAAUGCUGAUAUUUUUGUACCCUCCUGGAGAAGGGAAGAGGUGGGGUUUCUCUGGAGCCAGAUGAACUCAUAAUUAGUUCUCACCCAGGCUGCUUAAGCAAUUAUGGUGAAACCAAAUCACAUUACUUUUUUCUCCUGCUUUUGAUAAAAGCCUCAGCCCUGCUCCUUCUGCCCCAGAGGGCACUUGGCUGCCCAUUACUUCUAACAUCACAGACACUAUUCUUUCCUUUUGUUUCCAGGAUACAACUGUCACUGUGUAAAAUAAGAAGUGUGGGGGAAAUAAUGCACACCUCUUGGUCGCACUACUUCAGAGGCACCUAGCAACACUGUCUCCAGGCAGGCAGCACGCGCAUCUCCCUGGUAGUUUACUGCCCACUCAGAGCAGAGGCGGCGUGCUCUCUGCAAAUAGCCUACAUCUUUGCCCGUGCCAGCUCGUUGGUGGGGUAGUGGUGUCAUGUGGUGUCCUCAGGGACGUUUGGUUCUCGUUCUGGGAAGACUAGGGCAAAGCAAUAACUAUUUCCGCAAAGCUGUUUGUGGAAUCAGAAAUUAGGUCAAGCAGUUCUGUACUUGGGGUUGCACAAUCUAAAAUCAAUGGUUUUCAAUCUUUGUUUUUUUCCCAGAUUGAUACGUUUCAGAUAUCAACCUUCCAGAAUGUUCAUGGCAUUCUUUUCUAAAGGAUGUUUCCCAAGUAUACAUAUUCAAUGAGCAACUUCUCCUGGCUCUUUUGUCCAUCCACCAAUUAGCCUGACGAUGCUGUGACCACCAGCUGUUUCCACAGUUUUUACCAUUAUCUGCUCUCUGCCUCCAAAGUAUCAGUUGGGCUAAAGAGAGCCCUGCACUGAUUUACCCACCAGCUGCAUAGCCUUUCCAUUGCAGGCUCUUGUACCACAGGACAUUAUGAUAAGGUGCUGAGACUAUCAAUUUUCUUUCUGUAUCUCAGGGAAUUGUUAAAGGACUUUUUUGUUUCUUUACUGCUUAUACUUAGCAUUUUAACCCUCCCCCAGAGUAAAAACCUUGGAAAAUGAAAAUUGCAUCUUUUUUGGAGGAAAACCAAGCUUUUCCUGUGGUAACAUUAUGCCAGGCUCCUAGGCAUGUAAAACUUGAUUUAGGAAAUAUGAGUGCUGCUGUGUAGAGGGGUGAUCCCAAGAUACCAGGAAGGAAAUAAGUUUUAACUUCCAAGAGUCAUUUUCUCACUUGUUAUGUGCCAAGCCCCCUGCUAAGAGCAAGGAAGACAAGUAUGAAUGAAAAAGCUUAUAGCCUGAGGGAUAUUUUAGUGAAAACAACAAUUAGGAAUUAUGUCAUGUGUGUUUGUAAUGCAAGUAUUCACAAGAUGAUCUAGGAGUUCAGGGGGGAUAGAAGGGCUCUCUAGAGAGAUCGGAUGGGGGAGAGAGUGAUAUUUAUGUCAUUUAAUUUUUAAUAGUAGCUAUGUUUAAUAAUCAGCUUGCAACAUUCCUGAAAAUCUAGCCCAGGCUCUCCUGAGCUGAUGUAAACUGGCUCCAGCACAUUGUGGGGCAAGGUGAAACUGGGAAGUAUAGAUAUACCUUGUAUCCAUAGUGAGGAGUUUGGAUUCUCUCUAAGAGAAAGGAUAAUUUGAAAUAGUAAUUGGUGUUUGUUUUUUCUUGUUUUAUAUAGUUUCACCUUCUUUCACCAAAGAAGGCUUUUGUUUUUUCUUCUCUCAGAGGCUUUUGUAUUGGUGGGCAGAAACCAAACAUUUCUAAAGGGCUAGGCUUGGCACGACCACUUUCAAAGAACUCCCUGGGUACAAUCAAGGUGACGAUCAAAGCGAGCCUUGUAAACUAAGACCAGAGGGCCCAUUCUUGACUAUUCUGUGAUGAGACCACUCUAUAUUUCCAGAGAUCCUUGGUGGAAGGAAGGAACCCAACAAAGAGUCUGAAAUUAAGUUUCUCACUGACAGCAUAAUUUAACUAUUUUAGAGAAGUUAAGAGAAGGUGUUUCUUGCACUCCAGUGUUAGAGAAUUAAACUGAUACCCAUUAUAGCUAUAGAUCAUGCAUUUUUUUAAACCAAAAAUAUGACCUCAUUGUAUCUAAAUUUUAUAAGGAUAACUAUCACCCAUGCAGAGGAGGAAUUGGAAGGGGGAAAACCUGAUUGAAAAAUGAGACUAGUUAGGUGAGAUUAUCUGCCAUGAUAAGGUGAGUAAUCAGGGAAGUCUCUGAAAAUAGGAGAGGAAAUAUUUCAGAGGACAAAUCAUAAAAGGUAUGAAUACAAGCUCAAGGAUUUAAAAUAUGAGCUGUUAGGGUUUAGAGGCAAAUGCAACCCCUUGCCUUUUUUCGUUACUACUGCUGCCUUGUCCAGGCCUAGCACAGCGCCUCCUACUUAGCAAGUGCUUAAAAAAAUGCUUGCUGAAUGAAUGAAAGAGCAAAUAAAUGAAUAUGUCCAGUGAACAGGCAAAUAUGCAUAUUUUCACUGCAUUAAAAAAUGAGUCUGGUCAAAAAAAUAAUAAGGGAGUUCCUUUCGUGGCUCAGCGGUAAUGAACCGGAGUAGAAUCCAUGAGGAUAUGGAUUUGAUCCCUGGCUUCGCUCAGUAGGUUAAGGAUCCAGCGUUGCCGUGAGCUGUGGUGUAGGUUGCAGACAUGGCUUGGAUUUGGCAUUGCUGUGGCUGUGGCGUAGGCUGGCAGUUGCAGCUCUGAUUCAGCCUCUAGCCUGGGAACCUCCAAUGC